rnacentral:lncRNA from 1 species
GCAAUCAAACUCACUGUUUGUGAGUAAGUUCAUCAUCAAUUCAAUAUAAGCUCAAGAUCGAAUCGCUCUUUAGUAACGAGCCGAACGUGAGCUAAAUUUUUUAGCUCGUUUAAUAAACGAGCCGAAUAAGAACUAAAUUUUUUAGCUAGCUAGCUAGUUAGUUUAAUAAACGAGCUGAAUAUGAGUUGGGGUCGGCUCGCUCGUGUUCGGCUUAAUAACAACUCGAAUACAUAUAUUUUAUAUUUAUACAAUUUAUUUAAUUUAUAUUUAUAUAUAUAAAUAAUAAUCAUAUAUAUAACAUAUAUAUUUAUUAUUUGAUUUUUAGUCAAAAAAAAAUAAAGCUGAACUCAAUUAUAAAAAGGCUCAUUUAUAUAAAAAAUUUCAACCAUUAGAACAAAGUUUAAUAGAUAAGAUUUUAUAAAUUUAAUUUUUAUAUAUAUUUAAAUUAAUUUAUUUAAUUUAUUGUUCGUUGACUAGUUCGUGAGCCGGCUCGUAUUUGACUCAUUAAUUAACGAACCGAACACGAACUAAAUUUUUCGGUUAAAUAUUUACUUAAUUGGCGAGCCAGCUCGUAUUCGACUCGUUUAUUAAACGAGUCAAACACGAGCCGAUCCUAGCUCGCUCGUGUUCGGCUUGUUGACACUCCUAAUUUACAGCGUUCCUAUCAACCGAGUUAUAUUUUUAGCCUACACAAAUAACUCAGCAAGUUAUUCAAGGUUUCAAAUUCUAAAUCUAAUUAUUUUAUAUUUUUUAGCCAUUUUUUUAAAAAA